UACGGGGGGGGCAAGCGUUGUUCGGAAUUACUGGGCGUAAAGGGCUCGUAGGCGGCCAACUAAGUCAGACGUGAAAUCCCUCGGCUUAACCGGGGAACUGCGUCUGAUACUGGAAGGCUUGAGUUCGGGAGAGGGAUGUGGAAUUCCAGGUGUAGCGGUGAAAUGCGUAGAUAUCUGGAGGAACACCGGUGGCGAAGGCGGCAUCCUGGACCGAAACUGACACUGAGGCGCGAAAGCCAGGGGAGCAAACGGG
rnacentral:rRNA from 1 species